UACGGAGGAUGCAAGCGUUAUCCGGAUUCAUUGGGUUUAAAGGGUGCGUAGGCUGGCCAAUAAGUCAGAGGUGAAAAGCAUAGGCUUAACUUAUGCACUGCCUUUGAUACUGUAUAGCUGGAAUAUGGUUGCUGUGGGUGGAAUGUGUGGUGUAGCGGUGAAAUGCUUAGAUAUUACACAGAACACCGAUAGCGAAGGCAGCUAACCAAGAUGCAACAGACGCUGAGGCACGAAAGCGUGGGGAUCAAACAGG
rnacentral:rRNA from 1 species